GUUGGAAGAAUCAAACAGUUCAAGAGAAAUUACCAGAGAAGGUUUAGAAUGAAGGAUUUGGCCACCCCAAUUAUAGCUGCAUCCCUCUUUGCAUUUCUGUCGCCCGGACUAAUAUUCCAGCUUCCAGGAAAGCACCACAUGGUCGAAUUUUUUAACAUGAAGACAAGCAUACCUUCCCUUUUCCUGCACACUGUUAUCUAUGGUUUGCUUCUCAUUCUCUUCUUUGUGAUCCUCAAUGUACAUCUCUAUGAAUAGGCCAGGAAGAUUCCACCUAAAAUAUGCCUAAUCUGUGGAUUCAAGUUACUAGUAUAAUUUAUUUGUUGUGAUGCACUUGAAAAACUGGGUGCAGCUUAAAUAAGGCAUCUUCAUCUAUUG
rnacentral:lncRNA from 1 species